GAUGAACGCUGGCGGCGUGCCUAAUACAUGCAAGUCGAGCGAACAGACGAGUACCUUGCUCCUCUGAGGGUAUCGGCGGACGGGUGGUUAACAAGUGGUUAACCUCCCUAUAAGACUGGGAUAACUACGGCAAACCGGAGCUAAUACCACGUAAUAUAUUGAACCGCUUGGUUCAUUGGUGUAAGACGGAUUUUCUGUCGCUUAUAGAUGGAUCCGCGCCGCAUUAGCUAGUUGGUGAGGUAACGGCUUACCAAGGCGACGAUGCGUAGCCGACCUGAGAGGGUGAUCGGCCACCCUGGAACUGAGACGCGGUCGAGACUCCUACGAGAGGCAGCAGUAGGGAAGCUUACGGAAUGGGCGAAAGCCUGACGGUGCAACGCCGCGUGAGUGAUGAAGGUCUUCGGAUCGUAAAACUCUGUUAUUAGGGAAGAACAAAUGUGUAAGUAACUAUGCACGUCUUGACGGUACCUAGUCAGAAAGCCACGGCUAACUACGUG
rnacentral:rRNA from 1 species